rnacentral:rRNA from 1 species
UACAGAGGGGGCAAGCGUUGUUCGGAAUUACUGGGCGUAAAGCGCGCGUAGGCGGCCUUCUAAGUCAGACGUGAAAUCCCCGGGCUCAACCCGGGAACUGCGUCUGAUACUGGAAGGCUUGAAUCCGGGAGAGGGAUGUGGAAUUCCAGGUGUAGCGGUGAAAUGCGUAGAUAUCUGGAGGAACACCGGUGGCGAAGGCGGCAUCCUGGACCGGUAUUGACGCUGAGGCGCGAAAGCCAGGGGAGCAAACGGG